rnacentral:rRNA from 1 species
GAUGAACGCUGGCGGCGUGCUUAACACAUGCAAGUCGAACGGAAAGGCCCAAGCUUGCUUGGGUACUCGAGUGGCGAACGGGUGAGUAACACGUGGGUGAUCUGCCCUGCACUUCGGGAUAAGCCUGGGAAACUGGGUCUAAUACCGGAUAGGACCACAUUUUGGAUGGUGUGGUGGAAAGUUUUUCGGUGUGGGAUGAGCUCGCGGCCUAUCAGCUUGUUGGUGGGGUAAUGGCCUACCAAGGCGUCGACGGGUAGCCGGCCUGAGAGGGUGUACGGCCACAUUGGGACUGAGAUACGGCCCAGACUCCUACGGGAGGCAGCAGUGGGGAAUAUUGCACAAUGGGCGCAAGCCUGAUGCAGCGACGCCGCGGGGGGGAUGACGGCCUUCGGGUUGUAAACGCCUUUCGCUAGGGACGAAGCGUUAUGUGACGGUACCUGGAGAAGAAGCACCGGCUAACUACGUG